CCUACGGGGGGCAGCAGUGGGGAAUAUUGCGCAAUGGGCGAAAGCCUGACGCAGCGACGCCGCGUGAGGGAUGAAGGUCUUCGGAUCGGAAACCUCUGUCAGCAGGGAAGAACGGUCACUGUGCUAAUCAGCAGUGAAUUGACGGUACCUGCAAAGGAAGCACCGGCUAACUCCGUGCCGGCAGCCGCGGUAAUACGGAGGGUGCGAGCGUUAAUCGGAAUUUCUGGGCGUAAAGCGCUCGUAGGCGGUAUGUCAAGUCAAGGGUGAAAUCCCCGCGCUCAACGUGGGAACUGCCUUUGAAACUGGCAAACUGGAGUGUGUGAGAGGAUAGUGGAAUUCCAGGUGUAGGAGUGAAAUCCGUAGAUAUCUGGAGGAACAUCAGUGGCGAAGGCGACUAUCUGGCACAUAACUGACGCUGAGGAGCGAAAGUGUGGGUAGCAAACAGGAUUAGAUACCCUAGUAGUC
rnacentral:rRNA from 1 species